UACAGAGGUCUCAAGCGUUGUUCGGAUUCAUUGGGCGUAAAGGGCGCGUAGGCUGCGGGGCAAGUCGGGUGUGAAAUCUCAGAGCUCAACUCUGAAACUGCACUCGAUACUGCUUUGCUUGAGGACUGGAGAGGAGAUUGGAAUUCACGGUGUAGCAGUGAAAUGCGUAGAUAUCGUAAGGAAGACCAGUGGCGAAGGCGGGUCUCUGGACAGUUCCUGACGCUGAGGCACGAAGGUCAGGGGAGCAAACGGG
rnacentral:rRNA from 1 species